CUGUACUUAAUUGUUUUGAUUUCUUUGCAUGUAUGGAUUACUUUGAGUUGUUACUGACAUCUGGUGAAAAUCUCAUGUCAACAGCACCUUUGGAAAUAUAUUUACUGAGAAAAAUGGUGUCGUGUUUAAUACUUAUUUUA